ACAAUUCUGUAGUUCAAAUCUAUGUAGACAUAGUAAUUUCUCUUCCUGAAGAGAAAGAGAUGACAUCCAUCUGAUUAUGACCUUGAAAGGAAGACAUGUACAUCUGUGAAACUGAAUUACCUGCAUUUCUCUACAUGACCCCCUACAACUCUGUGUUUUUGUCAUUUUUUUUUUAAUAGUCCAGAAAGUCCAGUUUGUGCUGCUCCUGUGCUCAUGGGUAUGGCCAUCUCUUCCAGUGGCAGUGGACCUACGGGAACCAAAGGCUUCAGGAAAACCAACAAGGUUUACUAUUUUAAAAGAGUAAAAUCAAAUUAUUUACUUCUACUUCAUUACUGUAUGUAACAACUCAUGAUUAUGUAAAAUCUGAAGCAAGAUCAUUAUCAUUUGCAGCACAUCAAACAGUGAAUCAUUUAAAAACUCAAUUCUGUAACAAGGAACCAUGAGGUCAUCCCUUAGGUGUUUGUUUCACUUCAAUUCUACUACUUCAAUCUGUCUAGCAGAUCAACUAAGGCAACAUCAACUCAAAGGACAGUUUAAAGCCCUAAUAAAUGCAACAUGCAUGAGAA